GAUCAUCUAUUGUUUAAAUCUAAUUAUUGAUAGCUCAAUAAAAAUUUAUGGUGGACCCAAAAUUUAGAUGAUAAGAUAAGAUAUUAAAUAUAACAUGAUUUUCUAGGAAUAUGUUUAUUUUAAAAAAAAAUCACACAUAAAUCAAAGUUGUAAUUAUGUUUUAAUAUAUAAUAUCUCACAUUUAUUACUUAUUUAGAGAGCUAUCAGCCAAAACACCAAAUUGCAAACGCAAGCAAAGUUCGAGCUGUGGAAUCAAAGUCAAAGCUGCCACUUUUGCCUUUGGUAAAUUUUGUUCUUAUCGUUUCUUGCAGUUUCCACGUAGUAGCCGAUCACUAAUGGCCAAAUUGUUUUUUCUUUAAAUAGAUCGACCCAAAAUCGUAGUUGGUAACAAAUAUAUAAAUAUGACGCCGAAUAACUAUAUAGUGUACUAAUUUACAUGGGGACUAACGCUUGAACCAGUGAUAAUUUUUUGGAUAACAAUGCAUUACAAACCGAGGUCAUUUUUUCUAUUAAAAGUUUAAUCAUCUAUUAUAAUAUUGAUUAAAGCAGAUAUGUUUUUUUUAAAACAGAAUCAGAUAUGUUCUCUCUAUUUUAUUAUGUAAGUUUGUCUACCUAAAUAGUCAAAGAAAAUAUGAUGUAAAAAACUAGUUAAUAACAUAUAUUUUCAAUAAAAACAUCUUUGAAGAUCGAGGCGCGUAGCGGACAAUUAUGCCAUUCGGAAGAAGUCUUCUAGUAAUAGUAAAACUUCACAAUCCAACUAAUCAAGAAGUUUGUAGAAUUAAAAAGCGAAAAAAACUACAAUAAAAUCCGCAUACAAAUUAUAGAAUAUUUUAUAAAUUGAAAGACCCAAAAUAUUCUAAAAUAUUGUAUUCUUGAGAAUAAAAAGCAUAUUUCGAAAGUUUAAACUCAAAACUAAUUAAGGUCUAUAUACCAUUUACGUUUACUUUUUAGCCACGACAUUUGCUAUUUAAAAAUCAUUAUAAAAACCUAAGUCUCUAUUAAAGGUUUGAUUUUCUGAAUGUCGUUUUCGUUGGAAGACAUAAAGCUUCUUGGUUGGAUGAAUUUAAAAGUAUUCAAAGUAAAUAUGGAGAACAGCUUGCAUACGACAACAUCCUUCAAGCUGCCACUUGAUUCCUCAAAUUGGCUGCUAAAUUAGCAUAUCUACAAUUCAAAUUUAAUAAACGUCACUUGUUAGUCAUUUUAAGAAAUAAUAUAUUGUAUUUUUGUCGUUAUAUAUAAGUUGGUGGUUGGCAUUUGCCUUAAUGGUCCACGUUAAUUUCGUGAGAAACCUUUCGCGUGUUUCUUUCGAGAUUAUUUCCUUAACUUGCCUGCUCAAAAACAGGCGGAAAAUGAAUCAAAUUGUUUUUACGUGUUUCUUAACUUUGUGUUUGUUUAGAAGAUUUCGUGUGAUCAACUUAUUCUUGCUAACUUGUAAUAAUUUGUUUUGCUUAUAUUAUCAACAAUCAUCACAUUGGAAGGUUUCAAACGAUGAAGAUGGUUUAUAUGAAGUUAUGGUGUAUAUUAUAACUAUCUAGCAGCAUGUAAUUAAUUUUCAAGGUUGUAUUAUUUAAAAUAAGAUCAUAUUAAAAAAUGAUAUGGUGGGCAUAUAUUUUACGAGUGGGAUUGGUUGGAUCUGUACACUUUUUAGGUUAGUGGUUAGGUCUGUAAACUUAAUCUGUAAUUUUUAAAGAUGAUUAUGGUUAUACCUAUAUCUAAUAUAUGAUCCGUCGAAUGUUGCUACUCAUUUAAAUUUGUUGAUUAACAAAAAAGAGAAUCAUUUACGAAAGAAUUUUUUUAAAAAAAAAAUUUAGUCCCUAAGCCAGGGCAUAUAAUAAACUGUAUCAAUCAUGGCCACCUAGUUUCGAGAGCCACCACUAGAGAAUGACCGUAUACACGAUAACGUAUUCUCCCAAUCCGGUAUUGCCUUAAAACCUAAGUUUUUUACGAUUCCGUUUUUUUUUUAACUUUCCAUUUGGUUUGUUUGGUAGCGUACUAGAAACUGAUUCCAUGUAGCCUUGGUCCAGGAAAUUUACAUGAACUAAUCUUGGGCGUAAAGAAUUUCCAGACCAGCUAAAUGAGUGGAAGGAUGGGCGUGAAAAUUAGCCAUCGUUCUUAUUGCCAAUGAACGCUUCAACGAAUGUUGUAUUAUGCAACGAAUGUUGUAUUAUGCAUGCCGAUUUUAAGAUGCAGCAAAGAGUCAGAUUUUAAGAAACUUAUGCUGAAUUCAAGAACAUGAAGAUAUUUUUCACUAACAUCCCAAAGGAAAUUGAAGUAGAUCAAAUAUCGACGUGCCCAUGCAAUCCAUAAAUAUUCCAAAGAAUAAAACAGACGCCAAAUAAAUCGAAGUGCAUUUACUUUAAACGAGUGGCUUUAUCAUCUGUUUUCCAAAAUCACAUUCAUCUUUUGUAGUAUGCAUUUCUGCCUAGACCACCUUUGCCUUGUGGUAAUACUGGGAGAUUUUUUUUUUUUAAACAUACUGGGUGAUAUUCAUCGAUUAGUAAAUUUGAUCUGCCAAACUCAUCUCUUUUUGUCUUUUUAGUACUUAACUAUUAACAGUGAAACUAAACAGAAAAAUCAGGGUCGGAUUAGACCGGCCUGGUCCGUCGAAAUAUCUCUAAUUUAACAAUUUUAAUUAGACUAUAUAGAUCUUGUUAAAAAUUUAUUUUGUAACUAAAUGCCAUUUUGCAUUAUCAGUUAUUCCAACAGACGGCAAUCUUUUACGCUUUCAAAAUAGUGUAUACACAUGCUGACAUGCACCACAUACUUUACGUGACGAUUUACAUAUUUUGUUAGUCUAUUUUAAGCUGAAAAUACAGAGAUAUUCCAAAAAAAAUUCAUGAACUACACUAAGCAUGAGAUUAAACAAACUUAAUAAGGUCUGGCAAGAAGAGAAGUUCAAUCAGACUGCAGAGCCUGAAACCUAAAAGAAAAAUUAAAUAUCAGCAAGUUAAAUUAAAAAUGUGAUACAUACAAAAGGAGAAAACUCCAAAUACUUUGAGAACUAGGAAUUUAUAGUAACUGUUAUUGAGUCCUAUUAAAAGAAGGCAAAGUGGAUUUUAAUCAACCGAUAUCGACACUUCAACGACUGAUUCAUGAAACCCUAAGCUAAGUUAAAGUUAGUGAUUAAAUUGAGAUUUUAAUGGACCAAUUAAGGGGAGGAUUAAAAUAUAAGUUAGGAGUGAAGAAGGUCGCAAUCAAAGACAGCUAAACACGAGCGUUGCGUGCUUGAAAGAGACACCAAGUUCUGUUUUAAUGGGGGAGCAAACUUACUUUCACUUUUUCCCCACUUGAUUCAUUUGUUAUUUUUGGCAUUUUUAUUUGUUGUUUUACAUUUUUACUUAAUUUUCCCUCACGUAUUUUGUUUAUUUCAGUCUCUUCCAGCAGCCCUCCAGGUGUAACUGGGCACACAAUAGCUCGGCUUACCUUUUACCAGGUGUUUUUCUUUCUUUCUUUAUAUGCCCAUUUAUAUCGUAGGAUACUUGAUUUUCAAUAAUAUUUUAGGAGAGUUUUAAUUUCUUAUACAAUAUUUUUUUACUGGUCAUAUUAGUGGUUUUCUGAUUCUUUUAUUCUAUGGAAAUCCAAUCAGUAAAAUGUCUUUAGUCCUACUAAACUAAUUUUAUA